ensembl:processed_transcript uncharacterized LOC110285832
AUCAAACUAGCUCACUAUGACUGCUAAUGAAAACACAGGAACACCUGAGAAACCAAAGGGUAGAGUGCGGGGGCAAGGGCGCUUAUAUCCAGCCUUUUCAACGUUUGUUAUUUUUCUCCAGGUUCUGUUAGCAGUGCCAUGCUUGUUGGCUCACAGAGAGGGUGUGUCUGGCUGAGAGCAAAGGAGCCAUACCAGGAAAGUUAAAGCGUAUUUUCAUCUUCAAGUCCAGGCUAAAAUAAGGUCUGAGGAAAAGAAUGAGCUGUGAGUGAAAGAUAGGAACAGAAAUCAUGAAAGAUCUGUUUGUCCAGGCCAGUGUUUCACCAUAAGAGAUCACUUUAAAAUAGAUGAAAUAAUUCUUUGCAAUUGCAAAUUUACCUUCCUUGCUUAACCACAUUCAUUGUUAACUGUAGGAGCUGAUAUCUGGUCCUUCCAUUGAUGACUUGUAGCUCUGUAUUCUAGCAAUAAACGCUCUUUAUGCUA